AUCUUCGGGGGUAGAGCACUGUUUCGGCUAGGGGGCCAUCCCGGCUUACCAACCCGAUGCAAACUACGAAUACCGAAGAAUGUUAUCACGGGAGACACACGGCGGGUGCUAACGUCCGUCGUGAAGAGGGAAACAACCCAGACCGCCAGCUAAGGUCCCAAAGUCAUGGUUAAGUGGGAAACGAUGUGGGAAGGCACAGACAGCCAGGAUGUUGGCUUAGAAGCAGCCAUCAUUUAAAGAAAGCGUAAUAGCUCACUGGUCGAGUCGGCCUGCGCGGAAGAUGUAACGGGGCUAAACCAUGCACCGAAGCUGCGGCAGCGACACUAUGUGUUGUUGGGUAGGGGAGCGUUCUGUAAGCCGUUGAAGGUGUGCUGUGAGGCAUGCUGGAGGUAUCAGAAGUGCGAAUGCUGACAUAAGUAACGAUAAAGCGGGUGAAAAGCCCGCUCGCCGGAAGACCAAGGGUUCCUGUCCAACGUUAAUCGGGGCAGGGUGAGUCGACCCCUAAGGCGAGGCCGAAAGGCGUAGUCGAUGGGAAACAGGUUAAUAUUCCUGUACUUGGUGUUACUGCGAAGGGGGGACGGAGAAGGCUAUGUCAGCCGGGCGACGGUUGUCCCGGUUUAAGCAUGUAGGCGGAGGUUCCAGGUAAAUCCGGUACCUUGUUAACGCUGAGGUGUGAUGACGAGGCACUACGGUGCUGAAGUGAUAAAUGCCCUGCUUCCAGGAAAAGCCUCUAAGCAUCAGGUAACACGAAAUCGUACCCCAAACCGACACAGGUGGUCAGGUAGAGAAUACCAAGGCGCUUGAGAGAACUCGGGUGAAGGAACUAGGCAAAAUGGUGCCGUAACUUCGGGAGAAGGCACGCUGAUGUGUAGGUGAAGCCCCUGCGGGUGGAGCUGAAAUCAGUCGAAGAUACCAGCUGGCUGCAACUGUUUAUUAAAAACACAGCACUGUGCAAACACGAAAGUGGACGUAUACGGUGUGACGCCUGCCCGGUGCCGGAAGGUUAAUUGAUGGGGUUAGCGGCAACGCGAAGCUCUUGAUCGAAGCCCCGGUAAACGGCGGCCGUAACUAUAACGGUCCUAAGGUAGCGAAAUUCCUUGUCGGGUAAGUUCCGACCUGCACGAAUGGCGUAAUGAUGGCCAGGCUGUCUCCACCCGAGACUCAGUGAAAUUGAACUCGCUGUGAAGAUGCAGUGUACCCGCGGCAAGACGGAAAGACCCCGUGAACCUUUACUAUAGCUUGACACUGAACACUGGUCCUUGAUGUGUAGGAUAGGUGGGAGGCUUUGAAGCGUGGACGCCAGUCUGCGUGGAGCCAACCUUGAAAUACCACCCUUUAAUGGCUGGUGUUCUAACGUAGACCCGUAAUCCGGGUUGCGGACAGUGUCUGGUGGGUAGUUUGACUGGGGCGGUCUCCUCCCAAAGAGUAACGGAGGAGCACGAAGGUUGGCUAAUCCUGGUCGGACAUCAGGAGGUUAGUGCAAUGGCAUAAGCCAGCUUGACUGCGAGCGUGACGGCGCGAGCAGGUGCGAAAGCAGGUCAUAGUGAUCCGGUGGUUCUGAAUGGAAGGGCCAUCGCUCAACGGAUAAAAGGUACUCCGGGGAUAACAGGCUGAUACCGCCCAAGAGUUCAUAUCGACGGCGGUGUUUGGCACCUCGAUGUCGGCUCAUCACAUCCUGGGGCUGAAGUAGGUCCCAAGGGUAUGGCUGUUCGCCAUUUAAAGUGGUACGCGAGCUGGGUUUAGAACGUCGUGAGACAGUUCGGUCCCUAUCUGCCGUGGGCGCUGGAGAAUUGAGGGGGGCUGCUCCUAGUACGAGAGGACCGGAGUGGACGCAUCACUGGUGUUCGGGUUGUCAUGCCAAUGGCACUGCCCGGUAGCUAAAUGCGGAAGAGAUAAGUGCUGAAAGCAUCUAAGCACGAAACUUGCCCCGAGAUGAGUUCU
rnacentral:rRNA from 1 species